UGCCAAGACAGAAGGAAUGUCUACAGUGC
rnacentral:piRNA from 1 species